UAAAGGGCGCGUAGGCGGUUUUGUAAGUCUAAGGUGGAAUUCCACAGCUCAACUGUGGAACUGCCUUAGAAACUGCAAAGCUUGAGUCAGGUAGAGGAGGGCGGAAUUCCCGGUGUAGCGGUGAAAUGCAUUGAUAUCGGGAGGAACACCAGUGGCGAAGGCGGAUCUCUGGCCCGUUGCUGACGCUGAGGUGCGAAAGCUGGGGGAGCGAAAGGGAUUAGAUACCCCUGUAGUCCCAGCCCUAAACGAUGGGCGCUAGGUGUUGGGGGAUUAACCCUCAGCGCCGAAGCUAACGCAUUAAGCGCCCCGCCUGGGGAGUACGGCCGCAAGGUUGAAACUCAAAGGAAUUGACGGGGGCCCGCACAAGCGGUGGAGCAUGUGGAUUAAUUCGAUACAAACCGAAGAACCUUACCUGGGCUUGACAUCCACGAGAAACGCCUGGAAACAGGCGCCUCGGGAAACCGACCCGUGGACACCGGUUGCAUGGCUGUCGUCAGCUCGUGCCGUGAGAUGUUGGGUUAAGUCCCGCAACGAGCGCAACCCUUACUGUGUGUUGCCAUCAGGUGGAGCUGGGCACUCACACGGAACUGCCGGCGACAAGUCGGAGGAAGGUGGGGAUGACGUCAAAUCAUCAUGGCCCUUAUGUCCGGGGCUACACACGUGCUACAAUGGCCGGUACAGAGGGAUGCGAACCUGCGAGGGGGAGCGGAACCCAGAAAGCCGGUCUCAGUUCGGAUUGGAGUCUGCAACUCGACUCCAUGAAGUCGGAAUCGCUAGUAAUCGC
rnacentral:rRNA from 1 species